GAUGAACGCUGGCGGCGUGCCUAAUACAUGCAAGUCGAGCGAACAGACGAGGAGCUUGCUCCUUUGACGUUAGCGGCGGACGGGUGAGUAACACGUGGGUAACCUACCUAUAAGACUGGGAUAACUUCGGGAAACCGGAGCUAAUACCGGAUAAUAUUUCGAACCGCAUGGUUCGAUAGUGAAAGAUGGCUUUGCUAUCACUUAUAGAUGGACCUGCGCCGUAUUAGCUAGUUGGUAAGGUAACGGCUUACCAAGGCAACGAUACGUAGCCGACCUGAGAGGGUGAUCGGCCACACUGGAACUGAGACACGGUCCAGACUCCUACGGGAGGCAGCAGUAGGGAAUCUUCCGCAAUGGGCGAAAGCCUGACGGAGCAACGCCGCGUGAGUGAUGAAGGUCUUCGGAUCGUAAAACUCUGUUAUUAGGGAAGAACAAACGUGUAAGUAACUGUGCACGUCUUGACGGUACCUAAUCAGAAAGCCACGGCUAACUACAUG
rnacentral:rRNA from 1 species